rnacentral:hammerhead_ribozyme from 1 species
AUCCAGCUGACGAGUCCCAAAUAGGGCGAGAUGCGAGUCCAAUUGAAU